AUUGAACGCUGGCGGCAGGCCUAACACAUGCAAGUCGAGCGGAGCGGCGGACGGGUGAGUAAUGCCUAGGACUCUGCCUGGUAGUGGGGGAUAACGUCCGGAAACGGGCGCUAAUACCGCAUACUAUCAGAUGAGCCUAGGUCGGAUUAGCUAGUUGGUGGGGUAAAGGCCUACCAAGGCGACGAUCCGUAACUGGUAUGAGAGGAUGAUCAGUCAAACGGGAACUGGGACACGGUCCAGCCUCUUACGGGAGGCAGCAGUGGGGAAGAUGGAACAAUGGGCGAAAGCCUGAUCCAGCCAUGCCGCGUGUGGGAAGAAGGUCUUCGGAUUGUAAGCACUUUAAGUUGGGAGGCGUUACCGACAGAAUAAGCACCGGCUAACUUCGUGCCAGCAGCCGCGGUAAUUC
rnacentral:rRNA from 1 species